CCUACGGGUGGCAGCAGUAGGGAAUUUUCGGCAAUGGGCGAAAGCCUGACCGAGCAACGCCGCGUGAACGAAGAAGGUCUUCGGAUUGUAAAGUUCUGUUAUAGAGGAAGAAUGGUGUACGAAGGAAAUGGCGUACAAAUGACGGUACUCUGUGAGGAAGCCACGGCUAACUACGUGCCAGCAGCCGCGGUAAUACGUAGGUGGCAAGCGUUAUCCGGAAUUACUGGGUGUAAAGGGAGCGUAGACGGUGAUGUAAGUCUGGAGUGAAAGGCGGGGGCCCAACCCCCGGACUGCUCUGGAAACUAUGUGACUGGAGUGCAGGAGAGGUGAGCGGAAUUCCUAGUGUAGCGGUGAAAUGCGUAGAUAUUAGGAGGAACAUCAGGGGCGAAGGCGACUUACUGGACUGUAACUGACACUGAGGCACGAAAGCGUGGGGAGCAAACAGGAUUAGAUACCCUGGUAGUC
rnacentral:rRNA from 1 species